AUCUCCAGGAACUCGUCCUCGCCGGCCUCGCACAGCUGCUGCACGUCGUCGCCGCCCUGUUGUAUGAAGGUGUCGUAGUAGGCCAGCAGGUUGGCUCUCUGCAGCACGCGGUAAAGCUGCAGCUCCCCCAGGGUCCUCGGAGCAGAC